rnacentral:lncRNA from 1 species
UCUAAUAGUUGGAAACACAGGAAGGGUGUUAUGCUAUUAUCAUUUAUAAUUUCCAUGACUACACAUAAUCACAUAUUAACUUUACCUAUACAGACCUUUCAUAUUAUAGAUUGUGUAUUAUAAUCUUUUUUAACAUUAAUUAUUCACUUUAAUAUAGUUUUUAUGAAACUUCUAUAUUUCACCUGCAAUUAAGAUAUAAGAGUGGGGUGUUUAUAGAAAUAAGGUUGUCUCCCCUGGAUUCAUAUGUCUGUUAUAUUUAAAGUACAGCCUCUUAGAAACAUUACAAAGGAGUAUUCAGAUUCCAUUUGAAAAAUAAUGAUUUCUCAUCUAACCUUUUAAUUGACGCUAAGGAGGGCAAACGAAUCUUUGAAAUAAAGCGGUUUAAUUUUCAAUACAAAGGCCCUGGUCUGGUUUGAAACUACUUCUAUAUAAAAUUGCUGCCCAUCUAAUACCUUGUUGACUAUAUGGUAUGGGUUUUGCUCAUUGUUAAAGGCCAUUCAAUGAGUUAAUUGUUUAAUUAUUCUAUAGACAGAUAUACAUUAUCCUGACUGCCAAAACCCACAGAAAAACAUUCAAAAUGUAAAAAAAGUAGUGAAAAGAAGGGCAUUUUAUGGAAAACAAACCAUUUGAAAGUUAUAUUUAAAGCACUAAAUGUGAUUGUUGGAGCGACGAAAUAUAAAGCUUGAUUUAAACAAGUGAGAUACGGGUUUAAAUGCAAAAAUCAAACUGAGAGAAAAUAAUGUGAUACAGGAAACCGCAGUCAUUCAUUUUUACCUUACCUUAAAGGCAAAUUAAAUCUUGACACAAGAGCAGUAUAACAAAAUGACUUUGAAUCACAGACAGUAAUAUUAUAUGGACACAUUUUCAUCAUUUUAGGUUAUAUUUAGACCUAAAGAUGUAAUUUUUAUUAUGAAUGUUUAUUAGGAUCAACUUCUUGUUCUUUUAUAGC